rnacentral:lncRNA from 1 species
UUAUAACUUCUCAUUUUGAGAAAGUAUUAAACCACUAUGAAGAAAUCAUGCAAGAGGCUUUUGAGGUGUUUACUUGAGGUUCCAGCCCAUGGCUUACUCUCAGAACCUUAACAACUAUGCUAGAUUGUCAUCACCAAGUACUAGACAAUGUAGUUACAGAGAUUUCCUAAGACUUCUUAAAGUCUUAUGACCUUCCCUAGAUAUCUGUGCACUCUCUAGAAUAACAUUUGCAAUGGUUUAACACAUUUAAUUAUUUCCCAGCAACCAUCAUAAAACUCUGACUCCUAAGGUUGUGCUUUUAUUGAAGUUGUUGGUAUUGAAUACCACUGUCUGGUUGCCUUGGAAAAACAGGAAGAAGUAGCAGCUUGUAAAACAUUAAAAUCCAGCAUUACUUAUGAUAACUCAGAGGGAUCCAAAAGGAUCUGAUAUCCCAUGCACACAAAUAACAUCCCUAAUUGCCAAAUACUCUCCUAUACACAUUCUCUUCUUCUUAUACAAGAGAAAAAAUAAACAUGGGUUUGUGUUGUGUAGUGCUUAACUGUUUUUGUUUCUGGCCCCCAAAGUAUGUCUCAAAACUCUUUUGUCAAUUCAAUUUAUUGUUCUGACUUGUAUCUUAUCUCUAUUCCCCAUUGUUGGUCAGCCUUCUUUAAGCAUAGCCAAGUAAACAUUUUAUCUCAUCUUUUUUUCACGAUGUUUUAAUCUAAUCCAGUUAUCAUUCACUGAAAACACCUCAUUCAAGCUACUGUGAAGUUUCAGGGAAUAAUGAAAAGGCUACAGCAAGUAAGAACCAUUUGCUUACUCUAAAGGCUCUUAAGUAAGAUGUCUUCAAAAAACACUGCUUUCUAGAAAACCAGGUAUCUACAGUUUUUUAUUACUAUAUCAUAAAUGUAGUUUAAUAUUUGAUAUUUCCAUAACCUAGGUUAAUAUCAGAGAUGCACAUUAUCUAUGAAUCUUUGUGUCCAUGCAUCUUUGUAAUAGAAUGUAGAUAUGACCACCUAAAUAGUUGUCAGGGAUUUAGAAGUUUUCUUUCUACAGCGCUAAUAAAGUCUUCAAACCCACAACUGUCUGACUUCUUGCCUGACUGUUUAAAGAACCCUUGAUGUCCCUUUUAGAGUGAUUAUAGAAUAAUGUUGUCCCAGCCUGACCCUUCUGUUAUAGAAUUCUGGAAAAAUGAUGGCUUCUUCUUUCUUUAGAGUCCCC